UACGUAGGGUGCAAGCGUUGCCCGGAUUUAUUGGGCGUAAAGAGCGUGUAGGCGGCUCGAUAAGUCUGCUGUGAAAGUCCAGGGCUCAACCCUGGAAGGCCGGUGGAAACUGUCGGGCUAGAGUCCGGAAGAGGCGAGUGGAAUUCCCGGUGUAGCGGUGAAAUGCGCAGAUAUCGGGAGGAACACCAAUGGCGAAGGCAGCUCGCUGGGACGGUACUGACGCUGAGACGCGAAAGCGUGGGGAGCAAACAGG
rnacentral:rRNA from 1 species